CGCUCAACGGAUAAAAGGUACGCCGGGGAUAACAGGCUUAUCCUGCCCAAGAGUUCACAUCGACGGCAGGGUUUGGCACCUCGAUGUCGGCUCAUCGCAUCCUGGGGCUGAAGAAGGUCCCAAGGGUCCGGCUGUUCGCCGGUUAAAGCGGUACGUGAGCUGGGUUUAGAACGUCGUGAGAGAGUUCGGUCCCUAUCUAGUGUGGGCGCAGCAGGAUUGAGGGAAUCUGUCCUUAGUACGAGAGGACCGGGAUGGAUCCACCUCUAGUGUACGAGUUAUGGCGCCAGCCGUAACGCUCGGUAGCUAAGUGGAGCAUGGAUAAACGCUGAAUGCAUCUAAGCGUGAAGCCAGACCCGAGAUUAAUCCUGACCGCGAGACUCGUGGUAGACCACCACGUUAAUAGGCUGGAAAUGUAAGUGCAGUAAUGUGCUCAGUUGACCAGUACUAAUCAGUCCCUUGGCUUGACCGUAAAA
rnacentral:rRNA from 1 species